rnacentral:misc_RNA from 1 species
GAUGAAGAACGUAGCGAAAUGCGAUAAGUAAUGUGAAUUGCAGAAUUCAGUGAAUCAUCGAAUCUUUGAACGCACAUUGCGCCCCUUGGUAUUCCGAGGGGCAUGCCUGUUCGAGCGUCAUUACACCACUCAAGCUAUGCUUGGUAUUGGGCGUCGUCCUUAGUUGGGCGCGCCUUAAAGACCUCGGCGAGGCCACUCCGGCUUUAGGCGGAGUAGAAUUUAUUCGAACGUCUGUCAAAGGAGAGGAACUCUGCCGACUGAAACCUUUAUUUUUCUAGGUUGACCUCGGAUCAGGUAGGGAUACCCGCUGAACUUAAGCAUAUCAAUAGCGGAGGA